rnacentral:rRNA from 1 species
AGUUUGAUCCUGGCUCAGAACGAACGCUGGCGGCAUGCCUAACACAUGCAAGUCGAACGAAGUCUUCGGACUUAGUGGCGCACGGGUGCGUAACGCGUGGGAAUCUGCCCUUGGGUGCGGAAUAACUUCUCGAAAGGGAUGCUAAUACCGCAUAAUGUCGUAAGACCAAAGAUUUAUCGCCCAAGGAUGAGCCCGCGUAAGAUUAGCUAGUUGGUGGGGUAAAAGCCUACCAAGGCGACGAUCUUUAGCUGGUCUGAGAGGAUGAUCAGCCACACUGGGACUGAGACACGGCCCAGACUCCUACGGGAGGCAGCAGUGGGAAUAUUGGACAAUGGGCGAAAGCCUGAUCCAGCAAUGCCGCGUGAGUGAUGAAGGCCUUAGGGUUGUAAAGCUCUUUACCCGGGAUGAUAAUGACAGUACCGGGAGAAUAAGCCCCGGCUAACUCCGUG